UUCCCCUAGUAACUGCGAGUGAAGCGGGAAAAGCUCAAAUUUUGAAUCUGGCAGUCAUCAUUAGGCUGUCCGAAUUGUAAUCUAGAGAAGCGUCUUCCGCGCUGGACCGUGUACAAGUCUCCUGGAAGGGAGCGUCAUAGAGGGUGAGAAUCCCGUCUUUGACACGGACUACCAGUGCUUAUGUGUUGCGCUCUCGACGAGUCGAGUUGUUUGGGAAUGCAGCUCAAAAUGGGUGGUAAAUUCCAUCUAAAGCUAAAUAUAGGCGAGAGACCGAUAGCGAACAAGUACCGUGAGGGAAAGACGAAAAGAACUUUGAAAAGAGAGUUAAAUAGUACGUGAAAUUGCUGAAAGGGAAACACUUGAUGUCAGUCGCGUUGAUUAGGGGUCAGCCUUGCUCGAUUGCUUGGUGUAAUUCCUAGUUGAUGGGUCAGCGUCAGUUUUGAUUGCUGUACAUAGGCUUGGGGAAAGUAGCACUCUUUAGGGGAGUGUGUUAUAGACUCUUGUCGGAUGCAGUGGUUGGGACUGAGGAGCUCUGCACGAACUCUGAUUUUGUGCAAGGGAUGCUGGCAUAAUGGCCUUAAGUGACCCGUCUUGAAACACGGACCAAGGAGUCUAACAUGCCUGCGAGUGUUUGGGUUUUCAAACUCGAGCGCGUAAUGAAAGUGAAAGUUGAGACCUCUGUCAUGGAGGGCACCGACGCCCAGACCUGAGUCUUUGACCAAGGAUCUGCGGUAGAGCAUGUAUGUUGGGACCCGAAAGAUGGUGAACUAUGCCUGAAUAGGGUGAAGCCAGAGGAAACUCUGGUGGAGGCUCGUAGCGAUUCUGACGUGCAAAUCGAUCGUCGAAUU
rnacentral:rRNA from 1 species